GAGUUUGAUCCUGGCUCAGAUUGAACGCUGGCGGCAUGCUUUACACAUGCAAGUCGAACGGCAGCACGGGGUUUACCCUGGUGGCGAGUGGCGAACGGGUGAGGAAUACAUCGGAACGUGUCUAUAAGUGGGGGAUAACGCAUCGAAAGAUGUGCUAAUACCGCAUAAUCUCUCAGGAGAAAAGCAGGGGAUCGCAAGACCUUGCGCUUUAGGAGCGGCCGAUGCCUGAUUAGCUUGUUGGUAAGGUAAAAGCUUACCAAGGCUUCGAUCAGUAGCUGGUCUGAGAGGACGACCAGCCACACUGGGACUGAGACACGGCCCAGACUCCUACGGGAGGCAGCAGUGGGGAAUUUUGGACAAUGGGGGAAACCCUGAUCCAGCCAUGCCGCGUGAGUGAAGAAGGCCUUCGGGUUGUAAGACUCUUUCUAGCCGGAACGAACGGUU
rnacentral:rRNA from 1 species